CGGCAGUAGGUGUGGAGUCAUCACUGCCUAUAUUAACCGCUUCAAUACUACAACUCCUACAGAGAUGGAGGUAGAGUCUCGGGUCCACCUGUAUGGCCACAGCUCUGAGGUGACCAGCCUCCAUGUGUGUAAACCAUACAGCAUCCUUAUCUCUGUGUCCAGGGACGGAACAUGCAUCCUCUGGGACCUCAACAGGUUGUGUUAUGUCCAGAGCCUGACGGGUCACAAGAGCCCGGUGACCGCAGUGUCAGCCAGUGAGACCACAGGGGACAUCGCUACAGUCUGUG